AUUAAAGCCAGGUGCCAAGUGGGUAAUAAAGCAAUGAAAACAAAACUAACAAAUAUGUUGAGAGUAAAGGACAGAAAGAAAAGAAAGAAAGAAUAGGUAUGCAGAGUUAAAUAGAGGUAGAUAAAGAAGGUUUAUUUACAUUAAAGAUUAACUGCAAGGGGAAAAGAACAGUAGAAAAAGCAAACAAAGGAAUAAAUGUAGAAAAAACAAUAGGUUUAAAAAAUUAAAAUAAAAAACAGGAAAAAA